CCACGGGUGGCAGCAGUGGGGAAUUUUGGACAAUGGGCGCAAGCCUGAUCCAGCCAUGCCGCGUGCAGGAUGAAGGCCUUCGGGUUGUAAACUGCUUUUGUACGGAACGAAAAGACUCUGGUUAAUACCUGGGGUCCAUGACGGUACCGUAAGAAUAAGCACCGGCUAACUACGUGCCAGCAGCCGCGGUAAUACGUAGGGUGCGAGCGUUAAUCGGAAUUACUGGGCGUAAAGCGUGCGCAGGCGGUUAUGUAAGACAGAUGUGAAAUCCCCGGGCUCAACCUGGGAACUGCAUUUGUUACGGCAUAGCUAGAGGACGGCAGAGGGGGAUGGAAUUCCGCGUGUAGCAGUGAAAUGCGUAGAUAUGCGGAGGAACACCGAUGGCGAAGGCAAUCCACUGGGCCUGUACUGACGCUCAUGCACGAAAUCGUGGGGAGCAAACA
rnacentral:rRNA from 1 species